CCUGUCUGAUUUCCAGGUAGACCCCGGCACUGUGUCGAUUCUAGCAGAAGAGGCACAUUUUUCUGGGUCCUGGCUCUGAGUGUGCACGUGCAAGGAGUGGAGUGGCCAUCAUCUCAAAGAGACCGGGUGAGAAGGUGGCAGGUGCUGAAUGGAAACGCCAACAGACAGAAUUGGAGAGGAGCACUUGGUAGGACGCUUCCUAAAAACCCUGCUUUGCUUCAUCGGUAUGCUGUUCCGGAACAGUUCUGCCUGACGCGGUGCUCCCGCAGGAUGCUCUCCAGGAACAUUCCGGUUAGCCUACCUCAGAAGAGUAACAGCCUGUGUGUGAACCCGUUACCCUCAAGACUUUGCUCUUCCUUCCACAAUACCUUUUGGUGGCCGUGCGUUCCCUUUCUUCGACUUCCUGUUAGCUUUUCAAAUGGUUGAUUUAGAAACUCAAGUUAUUCUAGCCUUGAUUAUGUGGUCUUAGGAUUCUCACAACUAGUUUUCCUCGUUAUGAAUAUUGAGAAGAGUUUGUUGGCAUGUUGUAUGAUGAGGAAGGAGGCCUGGGAUGGGAGUCCAAAGGUGUUGUAAACUGGGGCGGGGUACUUCAUCUCUCUGAACCUCAGUCUUGUCAACAAGAGGGUGGGUUAAAGUCUUCUUACUACCAAAUCCUAGAAGUCCUAAGAACUGUGCUCCAGAGGAGAAAACACACAUUGGCAAAUGUGGAUUUAUUCACUCUUCCGCCAUGCGUUUGCAGACCGGUUUGAG